GUCCUCCAGAGGCGCCACCGGGGCGCGGCUCCAGGGCAGGAAAUCCAACUUCCUGAAAUAUGUCUCUAUUCAUCCAGAGCUGAAUCAUCUCUUCUCAGAACAUUGAAGUUCAAAUUCUUCAGUCAGUCAAGCUGAAGCAGGCUGUGCCAUGCUUCUACUGAGUUAAAGGCCAAACCCCUUGGCAUGAUGGCCAAGGUCUUCAUUGCUGCUGUCCUGUCUGCCAAGGACCACAUAGAUACAGGAAGCCUGUCAGCAUGAGGUCCCCUCUCAGGGCAUUGGAAGUAAUGAAAUAUGAUUGAUGGCUGUUUGAGAAGGAUACGUUUCCAGAUAAAUACAAAGUGCAAUUGAAGCAGAGACAUGCAGCCUCUGGAAAGAGACAGAAUGACUUCCAGGCCAAGAGACUUUGAGAUACGGAAACUGAGGCACAAAGAAGUUAAGUCUCUUGUUCAAGGAAGAUUUCUAACAAGUAUAAGUGCCAGGAUUUCAGCCCAGAUGGUUUGACUUCUAAGUCCACAUGUUCUCUUCUAAACUGAAAUGUCAGUGGAAACACAGUUUAGUUUGAUUGUAAUGAAAAAUAAAAACAAACCAAAAAUGGCUCAACUAAUUCAAAGUGCAGCUGCCAUCACUAUGUAUGUUUCAGCCAAUUAAACUGAUAUAGC